CGCUGGCGAAGGAUUGACCUUAAUUCCCAGCAC
rnacentral:ncRNA from 1 species